CAGUAGCCACGGUAAUACGGAGGGGGCUAGCGUUGUUCGGAAUUACUGGGCGUAAAGCGCACGUAGGCGGCGAUCUAAGUCUGGGGUGAAAGCCCGGGGCUCAACCCCGGAAUAGCCUUUGAGACUGGAUUGCUAGAAUCUGGGAGAGGUGAGUGGAAUUCCGAGUGUAGAGGUGAAAUUCGUAGAUAUUCGGAAGAACACCAGUGGCGAAGGCGGCUCACUGGACCAGUAUUGACGCUGAGGUGCGAAAGCGUGGGGAGCAAACAGGAUUAGAUACCCGCGUAGUCCCUGUCUCUUAUAC
rnacentral:rRNA from 1 species